AUUCUGCCCAAGCGGGGAAGGAUGAGAAGCUUCGACCAAGGUUCGACUCGAGCGCCAGCGAGAGAGCGUUGCCGUAGGCAACGACCCGAAGGGCGAAGCGCGCAGCGCUGAGUAAUCCUUCCCCCAC
rnacentral:sRNA from 1 species